rnacentral:rRNA from 1 species
UACGUAGGGUGCGAGCGUUGUCCGGAAUUACUGGGCGUAAAGAGCUCGUAGGCGGUUUGUCGCGUCGUCCGUGAAAACUUGGGGCUCAACCCCAAGCUUGCGGGCGAUACGGGCAGACUUGAGUACUGCAGGGGAGACUGGAAUUCCUGGUGUAGCGGUGAAAUGCGCAGAUAUCAGGAGGAACACCGGUGGCGAAGGCGGGUCUCUGGGCAGUAACUGACGCUGAGGAGCGAAAGCUAGGGGAGCAAACAGG